rnacentral:rRNA from 1 species
UGGGGAAUAUUGCACAAUGGAGGGAACUCUGAUGCAGCGACGCCGCGUGAACGAAGAAGGCUUUCGAGUCGUAAAGUUCUUUUAUAUGGGAAGAUAAUGACGGUAUCAUAGGAGGAAGCCCUGGCUAAAUACGUGCCAGCAGCCGCGGUAAUACGUAUGGGGCGAGCGUUGUCCGGAAUUAUUGGGCGUAAAGGGUACGUAGGUGGUUUUUUAAGUCAGGUGUCAAAGCGUGGAGCUUAACUCCAUUAAGCACUUGAAACUGAAAGACUUGAGUGAAGGAGAGGAAAGUGGAAUUCCUAGUGUAGCGGUGAAAUGCGUAGAUAUUAGGAGGAAUACCGGUGGCGAAGGCGACUUUCUGGACUUUUACUGACGCUCAGGUACGAAAGCGUGGGGAGCAAACAGG